ensembl:snoRNA small nucleolar RNA SNORD88
AUUCUCCUAUGAUGCUUUGCACUGGGCUCUGAAUAUCUGCUGACAUGUGCAUCUCUGCCCUGACAAGGCAGAGGCUGAGGAGAUU